AAAGGUAGAGCUCAGUGGUAGAGUAUGUGCCUAGCGUGCACAAGGUCUUGAGCUCAAUUCCCAGUACCUCCA
rnacentral:tRNA from 1 species